GGAUUCCCAUUUUUUCAUAAAAAUGGGGAUUAGAGCAGUUUAGAGCAGUUUUGGACUUGGAUUGGAUAGCAUGCGUGGAUGGCAUAUGGGCUGAACGUUUUGGUGUUUAAAAGGUGUUAAACAUGUGCUAAAAUCUGGAGAAAUUAAAGUUGAGGCUCGGAAGGCAAGGAAUUACACAAGAAAAAUGAAUCCUAGUUGGAGAGAAGUUGUUACUUGUUUUGAAGUCCAAAUAAAGAAACAAAGAUGAAUUUGGCUUGUUAGACGACCAGGAAUAGAAUGGGAAAGGAAUUGGGAUAUCUAGCCUGAUUUGGAGGUGCCAAAUAAGGCAAAAACGUGAAAAAUAAAGGCUAAGUUGCUGGGAUCACUUUGGAAUAUCUUGCAGCCUCUUUCACCCCAUAAAAAGUUGCCUUUUUGCCACUUUUACAUGCCCUUUUUAUUCUAGGUGAAUUACCUAAUUCUGAUUACCUAUUUUCCUCUGUUUUCAUUCACUCUAAAGAAAACCCUAGCCAUGCCAUAUAUAUAUAUAUAUAUAUGAAGUGUUCUACAAUGUUGAAGGGUGUGCCGUGCCUACCAUUCGUCCAUUGAAGUUGCUAGAAUUUUUAGAGUUCUUUAUCUUUUUGUUUUAAGUUUCAAUGUUUAUUUUAGAUUGCUUUUCAGUUAUGAUGAACAUGUGUAACUAAGUUUCUUUUUAGCUAGAGGUGAAUUCGAAGCCAUGAUCAUAUGUUUUAUAUAAAUUGAUUACAUCUUGUUAUUGUU
rnacentral:sRNA from 1 species